CUUACCUGCGAGGUUAAUGAAACGACGAUUAGCAGGUUAGUUCAAUUCUUCUGCUUGGUGGGAACUGAAUGAACUAUCAACUGGGCUGGUCUAUGGAAACCCUGUCAGUUGGGGUUCCAGAUGGCGAGACUUAAAAAAUUGACUAUAUACGUAGAAGCCUAUGCUGAAAUGUCUAGGGACGCGGGUUCAAUUCCCGCCGCCUCCACCA
rnacentral:tmRNA from 1 species